rnacentral:rRNA from 1 species
GAUGAACGCUGGCGGCGUGCUUAACACAUGCAAGUCGAACGAAGCACUUUAUUUGAUUUCCUCCGGGACUGAUUAUUUUGUGACUGAGUGGCGGACGGGUGAGUAACGCGUGGGUAACCUGCCUUGUACAGGGGGAUAACAGUUGGAAACGGCUGCUAAUACCGCAUAAGCGCACGGCAUCGCAUGAUGCAGUGUGAAAAACUCCGGUGGUAUAAGAUGGACCCGCGUUGGAUUAGCUAGUUGGUGAGGUAACGGCCCACCAAGGCGACGAUCCAUAGCCGACCUGAGAGGGUGACCGGCCACAUUGGGACUGAGACACGGCCCAAACUCCUACGGGAGGCAGCAGUGGGGAAUAUUGCACAAUGGGCGAAAGCCUGAUGCAGCGACGCCGCGUGAGCGAAGAAGUAUUUCGGUAUGUAAAGCUCUAUCAGCAGGGAAGAUAAUGACGGUACCUGACUAAGAAGCACCGGCUAAAUACGUG